GGGAAAAGGCCUACCAAGCCUGCGAUCUGUAGCUGGUCUGAGAGGACGACCAGCCACACUGGGACUGAGACACGGCCCAGACUCCUACGGGAGGCAGCAGUGGUGAAUUUUGGACAAUGGGCGGAAGCCUGAUCCAGCGCGCCACGUGAGGGAUGACGGCCUUCGGGUUGUAAACCUCUUUCAGUACCGACGAAGCGAAAGUGACGGUAGGUACAGAAGAAGCACCGGCCAACUACGUGCCAGCAGCCGCGG
rnacentral:rRNA from 1 species